rnacentral:lncRNA from 1 species
GCAGCGCUUCGCAGACGGGACAAGCAUCCAUUUUCUCGUAUUCAUCACCACGAUAGAGGAUACAGUCAUUAGGGCAUGCGUGUAUCUUCUGAACAUCCAAUCCAAGAGGGCAAAUAAUCUGUUUAGCUUCAUAUGUUGUGGACGGUAAUUCAUUAUUCUCGGGAAGAAUCUUCUUGACAAUGUUUAACAUCCCCUGAAAUACCUUAUUGGACACACCAUUUUUUGCCUUCCAUUGCACAAAUUCUAGUGUCAUACCUAGUUUUUUAUGGCCCUGCUGGCAAUGUGGGUACAACAAUUUUUGGUGAUCAUCUAUCAUGCGCUACAACUUUGCUGCGUUCUUCUCAGUUUUGCAAUCUCUAUGUGCAUCUCGUAGCACCUGACCAAGAUCAUCUGUAGGGCCAUUUUUAGCAAACUCAUCUUCAUCAGCCUCGCACAUUCUAGUAUCUGCAAAAGCUUGGCCUGCAACCCAGUCCAGAAUGUUGCCAUCCUCCUCAUCCUCCUCGCCGUCUUCCAUUACAACCCCU